rnacentral:rRNA from 1 species
GGGUUGUGAGGUUAAGCGACUAAGCGUACACGGUGGAUGCCCUGGCAGUCAGAGGCGAUGAAGGGCGUGCUAAUCUGCGAUAAGCGCCGGUAAGGUGAUAUGAACCGUUAUAACCGGCGAUACCCGAAUGGGGAAACCCAGUGUGAUUCGUCACACUAUCAUUAACUGAAUCCAUAGGUUAAUGAGGCGAACCGGGGGAACUGAAACAUCUAAGUACCCCGAGGAAAAGAAAUCAACCGAGAUUCCCCCAGUAGCGGCGAGCGAACGGGGAGGAGCCCAGAGCCUGAAUCAGCAUGUGUGUUAGUGGAAGCGUCUGGAAAGGCGCGCGAUACAGGGUGACAGCCCCGUACACAAAAGCGCAUGUGCUGUGAGCUCGAUGAGUAGGGCGGGACACGUGGUAUCCUGUCUGAAUAUGGGGGGACCAUCCUCCAAGGCUAAAUACUCCUGACUGACCGAUAGUGAACCAGUACCGUGAGGGAAAGGCGAAAAGAACCCCGGCGAGGGGAGUGAAAAAGAACCUGAAACCGUGUACGUACAAGCAGUGGGAGCCCCACCACCAAAGCAUUUGCUGUACCGCGUUGACGGAGCGAAGCGACGUCAAACCGAUAAAACAGCAGUGUAAAGUGAGCCGCAGGGCGCUUUGCGCGACAGCGCAAAGGCAGGCGGUUUCGCGUAGCGAAAGCGAAUGCUUUGGGGUGGUGUGACUGCGUACCUUUUGUAUAAUGGGUCAGCGACUUAUAUUCUGUAGCAAGGUUAACCGAAUAGGGGAGCCGGAGGGAAACCGAGUCUUAAUUGGGCGUUAAGUUGCAGGGUAUAGACCCGAAACCCGGUGAUCUAGCCAUGGGCAGGUUGAAGGUUGGGUAACACUAACUGGAGGACCGAACCGACUAAUGUUGAAAAAUUAGCGGAUGACCUGUGGCUGGGGGUGAAAGGCCAAUCAAACCGGGAGAUAGCUGGUUCUCCCCGAAAGCUAUUUAGGUAGCGCCUCGUGAAUUCAUCUCCGGGGGUAGAGCACUGUUUCGGCUAGGGGGCCAUCCCGGCUUACCAACCCGAUGCAAACUGCGAAUACCGGAGAAUGUUAUCACGGGAGACACACGGCGGGUGCUAACGUCCGUCGUGAAGAGGGAAACAACCCAGACCGCCAGCUAAGGUCCCAAAGUCAUGGUUAAGUGGGAAACGAUGUGGGAAGGCCCAGACAGCCAGGAUGUUGGCUUAGAAGCAGCCAUCAUUUAAAGAAAGCGUAAUAGCUCACUGGUCGAGUCGGCCUGCGCGGAAGAUGUAACGGGGCUAAACCAUGCACCGAAGCUGCGGCAGCGACACUGUGUGUUGUUGGGUAGGGGAGCGUUCUGUAAGCCUGUGAAGGUGUGUCGUGAGGCAUGCUGGAGGUAUCAGAAGUGCGAAUGCUGACAUAAGUAACGAUAAAGCGGGUGAAAAGCCCGCUCGCCGGAAGACCAAGGGUUCCUGUCCAACGUUAAUCGGGGCAGGGUGAGUCGACCCCUAAGGCGAGGCCGAAAGGCGUAGUCGAUGGGAAACGGGUUAAUAUUCCCGUACUUGGUGUUACUGCGAAGGGGGGACGGAGAAGGCUAUGUUGGCCGGGCGACGGUUGUCCCGGUUUAAGCGUGUAGGUGUGUGUUCCAGGUAAAUCCGGUUCACUUUAACACUGAGGCGUGACGACGAGGCACUACGGUGCUGAAGCAACAAAUGCCCUGCUUCCAGGAAAAGCCUCUAAGCAUCAGGUAACAUCAAAUCGUACCCCAAACCGACACAGGUGGUCAGGUAGAGAAUACCAAGGCGCUUGAGAGAACUCGGGUGAAGGAACUAGGCAAAAUGGUGCCGUAACUUCGGGAGAAGGCACGCUGACACGUAGGUGAAGUGAUUUACUCAUGGAGCUGAAGUCAGUCGAAGAUACCAGCUGGCUGCAACUGUUUAUUAAAAACACAGCACUGUGCAAACACGAAAGUGGACGUAUACGGUGUGACGCCUGCCCGGUGCCGGAAGGUUAAUUGAUGGGGUCAGCGCAAGCGAAGCUCCUGAUCGAAGCCCCGGUAAACGGCGGCCGUAACUAUAACGGUCCUAAGGUAGCGAAAUUCCUUGUCGGGUAAGUUCCGACCUGCACGAAUGGCGUAAUGAUGGCCAGGCUGUCUCCACCCGAGACUCAGUGAAAUUGAACUCGCUGUGAAGAUGCAGUGUACCCGCGGCAAGACGGAAAGACCCCGUGAACCUUUACUAUAGCUUGACACUGAACAUUGAGCCUUGAUGUGUAGGAUAGGUGGGAGGCUUUGAAGUGUGGACGCCAGUCUGCAUGGAGCCGACCUUGAAAUACCACCCUUUAAUGUUUGAUGUUCUAACGUGGACCCGUUACCCGGGUUGCGGACAGUGUCUGGUGGGUAGUUUGACUGGGGCGGUCUCCUCCUAAAGAGUAACGGAGGAGCACGAAGGUUGGCUAAUCCUGGUCGGACAUCAGGAGGUUAGUGCAAUGGCAUAAGCCAGCUUGACUGCGAGCGUGACGGCGCGAGCAGGUGCGAAAGCAGGUCAUAGUGAUCCGGUGGUUCUGAAUGGAAGGGCCAUCGCUCAACGGAUAAAAGGUACUCCGGGGAUAACAGGCUGAUACCGCCCAAGAGUUCAUAUCGACGGCGGUGUUUGGCACCUCGAUGUCGGCUCAUCACAUCCUGGGGCUGAAGUAGGUCCCAAGGGUAUGGCUGUUCGCCAUUUAAAGUGGUACGCGAGCUGGGUUUAGAACGUCGUGAGACAGUUCGGUCCCUAUCUGCCGUGGGCGCUGGAGAACUGAGGGGGGCUGCUCCUAGUACGAGAGGACCGGAGUGGACGCAUCACUGGUGUUCGGGUUGUCAUGCCAAUGGCACUGCCCGGUAGCUAAAUGCGGAAGAGAUAAGUGCUGAAAGCAUCUAAGCACGAAACUUGCCCCGAGAUGAGUUCUCCCUGAGACUUAGAGUCUCCUGAAGGAACGUUGAAGACGACGACGUUGAUAGGCCGGGUGUGUAAGCGCAGCGAUGCGUUGAGCUAACCGGUACUAAUGAACCGUGAGGCUUAACCUUACAACGCCGAAG